UACGUAGGGGGCUAGCGUUGUCCGGAAUCAUUGGGCGUAAAGCGCGCGUAGGCGGCCCGGUAAGUCCGCUGUGAAAGUCAAAGGCUCAACCUUUGAAUGUCAGCGGAUACUGCCGGGCUAGAGUCCGGAAGAGGCGAGUGGAAUUCCUGGUGUAGCGGUGGAAUGCGCAGAUAUCAGGAGGAACACCAACGGCAAAGGCAGCUCGCUGGGACGGUACUGACGCUGAGGCGCGAAAGCGUGGGGAGCGAACAGG
rnacentral:rRNA from 1 species